rnacentral:rRNA from 1 species
UACAGGGGGUGCAAACGUUGUUCGGAAUCAUUGGGCGUAAAGCGCACGUAGGCGGUCUGUUAUGUCGGAUGUGAAAGCCCUCGGCUCAACUGAGGAAGUGCAUCCGAAACUGGCAGGCUAGAGUACUAAAGAGGGUAGCGGAAUUCCCGGUGUAGAGGUGAAAUUCGUAGAUAUCGGGAGGAACACCGGUGGCGAAGGCGGCGACCUGGGUAGAUACUGACGCUGAGGUGCGAAAGCGUGGGGAGCAAACAGG